AGAGUUUGAUCCUGGCUCAGAAUCAACGCUGGCGGCGUGCCUAACACAUGCAAGUCGAACGAGAAAGGGGAGCAAUCCCUGAGUAAAGUGGCGACCGGGUGAGUAACACGUGACUAACCUACCUUCGAGUGGGGGAUAACUCCGGGAAACCGGGGCUAAUACCGCAUAACAUCUUCGGAUCGGAAGAACUGGGGAUCAAAGGAGCAAUUCGCUGGAAGAGGGAGUCGCGGCUGAUUAGCUAGUUGGCAGGGUAAUGGCCUACCAAGGCGAAGAUCGGUAGCCGGCCUGAGAGGGCGCACGGCCACACUGGAACUGAAACACGGUCCAGACUCCUACGGGAGGCAGCAGUGGGGAAUUUUGCGCAAUGGGGGAAACCCUGACGCAGCAACGCCGCGUGGAGGAUGAAGUCCCUUGGGACGUAAACUCCUUUCGACCGGGACGAUAAUGACGGUACCGGUGGAAGAAGCCCCGGCUAACUUCGUGCCAGCAGCCGCGGUAAUACGAGGGGGGCGAGCGUUGUUCGGAAUUAUUGGGCGUAAAGGGCGCGUAGGCGGUGCGGUAAGUCACCUGUGAAAUCUCCGGGCUCAACUCGGAGCCUGCAGGCGAAACUGCCGUGCUGGAGUGUGG
rnacentral:rRNA from 1 species